rnacentral:rRNA from 1 species
UACGGGAGGCAGCAGUGGGGAAUAUUGCACAAUGGGCGCAAGCCUGAUGCAGCCAUGCCGCGUGUAUGAAAAAGGCCUUCGGGUUGUAAAGUACUUUCAGUCGUGAGGAAGGUGUUAAGGUUAAUAACCUUAGCAAUUGACGUUAGCGACAGAAGAAGCACCGGCUAACUCCGUGCCAGCAGCCGCGGUAAUACGAAGGGUGCGAGCGUUAAUCGGAAUUACUGGGCGUAAAGGGCACGCAGGCGGUUAAUUAAGUUGGAUGUGAAAUCCCCGGGCUUAACCUGGGAAUGGCAUUCAAGACUGGUUAGCUAGAGUCUUGUAGAGGGGGUAGAAUUCCAUGUGUAGCGGUGAAAUGCGUAGAGAUGUGGAGGAAUACCGGUGGCGAAGGCGGCCCCUGGACAAAGACUGACGCUCAUGUGCGAAAGCGUGGGGAGCAAACAGGGAUUAGAUA